rnacentral:tRNA from 1 species
GCCUGGGUGGCUCAGCAGUUGAGCACCUGCCUUCAGCUCAGGGUGUGAUCCUGGGGUCCUGGGAUCAAAUCCCACAUCAGGCU